GAGGACGAAGAUAUCCGGUUGAAUAUGCACUAGUGUUUCGAUUUUUGUUUUCUGCAGAGAGAAGUUGAAGGGGGAGUUGGAAGUAAUUGAAUUUGGUCGGUUCCGAGGAGCUUGAUUGAACUCAUUGAAGGUUUGAAUUUGUUGGGUUUCCUUUCAAAUGAGCAAAUCAUAAUGAACGGAAUCGUGGGCUUGUUGGUCAAUGGAUUCU
rnacentral:misc_RNA from 1 species